rnacentral:rRNA from 1 species
GACGAACGCUGGCGGCGUGCUUAACACAUGCAAGUCGAACGGAAAGGCCCUGCUUUUGUUGGGUGCUCGAGUGGCGAACGGGUGAGUAACACGUGAGUAUCCUGCCCUUGACUUUGGGAUAACUUCAGGAAACUGGGGCUAAUACCGGAUAGGAGCUCCUGCUGCAUGGUGGGGGUUGGAAAGUUUCGGCGGUUGGGGAUGUACUCGCGGCUUAUCAGCUUGUUGGUGGGGUAGUGGCUCACCAAGGCUUUGACGGGUAGCCGGCCUGAGAGGGUGACCGGCCACAUUGGGACUGAGAUACGGCCCAGACUCCUACGGGAGGCAGCAGUGGGGAAUAUUGCACAAUGGGCGGAAGCCUGAUGCAGCAACGCCGCGUGCGGGAUGACGGCCUUCGGGUUGUAAACCGCUUUCGCCUGUGACGAAGCGUGAGUGACGGUAAUGGGUAAAGAAGCACCGGCUAACUACGUG